rnacentral:rRNA from 1 species
UACGUAGGGUGCGAGCGUUAAUCGGAAUUACUGGGCGUAAUGCGUGCGCAGGCGAUUCGUCGUGUCCGAUGUGAAAGCCCCGGGCUCAACCUGGGAAUGGCAUUGGAAACUGGCGAGCUUGAGUGUGGCAGAGGGGGGUGGAAUUCCGCGUGUAGCAGUGAAAUGCGUAGAUAUGCGGAGGAACACCGAUGGCGAAGGCAGUCCCCUGGGCCUGCACUGACGCUCAUGCACGAAAGCGUGGGGAGCAAACAGG